AAUCUGUUUCCAAUAAACAUUGAUUUUUAAUUAAAAUCGAUAGCAACAUCAAACAAAAAAACUUCGUCAGCCGGAGAAAAGAUCGGUUCGAUUAUCGAUUCAGAUAACAAGGAACUUGCAUUUCGGGCGGCCGGUUCGAGGUCCAAAUAGGCCCGUCGCCUGCAUCCGCUGUUUGCUUCCGUGACUAUUAAUCAAUUUCUCGCUUCUUUCAAAUAAUUUAUGACGAUAACACAUCCGUGCAUUUUACGAAGAAACCUGAUUCAACUUUGGAUGAGUAUAAUCUAUGAUGUUUUGAAGAACUCGAGCUCGACCAAUCGGCCCCCAGAAAUCGGAUCCCGACUUCAUUUCAAGCCCCUGAUUCUUAAGUAAACUUAAGAUUAGGCUACACAGAACAACAAGGAGGGAGACCAUACUUUCAACUAAGUGAAGCGUAACAAUUUUUGAAUAACAACAUGGGAAAUUCCGUACGAUAAAAAUUCUACAAUCAUUCAAUCCACACAAGACCCAGAGAAUUUUGCAUUGGCGACAGGGGCAUUAAAUCUAAUAAUAAAAAUCUGCAGCAUCAAACGGAACUCGAGUGAAAGAACAAACUGGGCCGUUUAAAAAUGGUAAAAUGACGGCGGAAAAAUAACGCUGAAACCACUGGCUGCCAUGGCAACCUUUGAACUCACGUGUAUUGAGGCAUGACGUUGGCGUUUCCUUGGUUACUGUCGGCUGGAUAGUAUACUCGUCUGCAUGGAAAAACAAAAAAAAGAAAAUCGAAAACAAAAUGGUAAAUAUAUUGAAGGAUCAGAAUGUUGCGUAGACAUUUAACACAAACAGUCGUCGUGAUUCAGCUCUCUUUUCAACAUCAUCUUGCGCACAGUUCAAAUGCUCACAUAGUUCAGCAUUUUUGCUGGCUAAGCGCAUGUUUCUCUCCGUAACAUAGGACGCUCAUAAGCCAGUCGCAGUAGUGGCAGUAAGGGUUUUCAAUGACUCGUGUGUUAUUCGAUCAGAAUACCAGUAGGAAAUCCGAUCACACUUUUUCCACUGUUUAUCAGAACUGAUAGGAGGAGGAAAUCGGGACCAAGAAACCCAAACAAGAAAGGCCGAAUGAAUAAGCACAAGGUCUACCAUGCAAACGGUGAAGGGUAAAGGAAUAGUAUAUACCGUGUAAAGGUUUCCGUCUUGCAAUGGGUGCGCUCUUCGUGGCUGGUCUCCACUUGCCGAUCAACAAAACUAUACAAGUGCGGUGCAGCAAACCCAAAGUGAUUUUUUUUUUUGGUUAAUGCACCGAUACAGAUCGGCAGAGCGCGCACACACAUAGAAACACACCGGCAGUUGCGUCCAAGCAGGGGUAAAGCAGAAGCCCAUUAAAGGUUUUUGUUUUUUUACGUGUACAGCCGUUUAUGGUAGAUUGCGAGAGAUGGAGAAAACGAUUGAAAAAAAAAAAAUAAAAAAAAAAAUAAAAAAAAUAAAU